UCCCUCCAAGCAUGGCGCUCCUAUUCAUGCAGCUGGCACCGACAUGCAGUAGCCUGUCCUCCUUCGCCUCUCACUUGGAGAGUUGCAGCCACAGCCCUCUCCUUGAUCCUCAAACAGAGCAUUAAUUUGGAGGAAUUCACAAAUGACAUGGUGAGAGAGCAUGGCGAGGCGACGACACCACAGCCCGAAUGAAAACAUCGGAGCGAACUCAGCUGAGGAAGGAAAAGUUGAACUAAUGACUUCAGGAGGAAAAAAUACGCAGGUGCAACUUCCGGGGGCAGUUCUCCAGAAUGGCUGUAUCAGUUUUCAUUCCCACCAGCAACUAAGAAACCAGCAUUUCCAGGUAACUCUUUGAUGGCCAGUUUCUCCCAUUAGAAGAAACUAAGGAUGCAUUUCCAAGUGCUUGAUAAGGGAACUGGAAGCAUGCUUUAUGAAGCCACUGGGGGACAGCGAGACAUGAAGCGCAUGUGAUCUCAGCAGUACUUCUAUGAAAA